CACUCUGGGACAAGCCCUGGAAACGGGGUCUAAUACCGGAUACGACCACUGAGGGCAUCCUCGGUGGUGGAAAGCUCCGGCGGUGCAGGAUGAGCCCGCGGCCUAUCAGCUUGUUGGUGGGGUGAUGGCCUACCAAGGCGACGACGGGUAGCCGGCCUGAGAGGGCGACCGGCCACACUGGGACUGAGACACGGCCCAGACUCCUACGGGAGGCAGCAGUGGGGAAUAUUGCACAAUGGGCGAAAGCCUGAUGCAGCGACGCCGCGUGAGGGAUGACGGCCUUCGGGUUGUAAACCUCUUUCAGCAGGGAAGAAGCGAAAGUGACGGUACCUGCAGAAGAAGCGCCGGCUAACUACGUGCCAGCAGCCGCGGUAAUACGUAGGGCGCGAGCGUUGUCCGGAAUUAUUGGGCGUAAAGAGCUCGUAGGCGGCUUGUCACGUCGGUUGUGAAAGCCCGGGGCUUAACCCCGGGUCUGCAGUCGAUACGGGCAGGCUAGAGUUCGGUAGGGGAGAUCGGAAUUCCUGGUGUAGCGGUGAAAUGCGCAGAUAUCAGGAGGAACACCGGUGGCGAAGGCGGAUCUCUGGGCCGAUACUGACGCUGAGGAGCGAAAGCGUGGGGAGCGAACAGGAUUAGAUACCCUGGUAGUCCACGCCGUAAACGUUGGGCACUAGGUGUGGGCGACAUUCCACGUCGUCCGUGCCGCAGCUAACGCAUUAAGUGCCCCGCCUGGGGAGUACGGCCGCAAGGCUAA
rnacentral:rRNA from 1 species